rnacentral:sRNA from 2 species
AGUGCAACCAUGCCUAAUGCGCCGGACGGCGCGGCGGGGGAACCAACUUUGGGGUGAAUUCAGCCGUUUGCGGCUGAUAGGGCGACCUUCCGCCCGAACCCGUCAGCUAACCCCGGCGGCAUUCAGGAAGGCCUGG